rnacentral:lncRNA from 1 species
UUCCUCUUUUGAUUUGUAAUCAAAUUUCCAAAUUAAGAAUACUCAAUUUCUAUUUUAUUUUUCAUAGAAAUGGAAAAUGAAGCUUUCUAUUGGCAUAGAGAUAAAGUUGCUGGUUUCACCUGAGAGGAUAUGAGACAUCAUGCCAAGAAUGGAGAAAAGAGAAAAAUCAUCCCUGCCCUCAAUUAGUUUACAUUGGAGGUGAGAACAUGUACAGGGAUGAGUAAAUGCCAAGUAUAAAAUAUGU